rnacentral:rRNA from 2 species
ACAUGCAAGUCGAACGAAGGCCUUGGCUUGCCAGGUGUCCUUAGUGGCGGACGGGUGAGUAACGCGUGGGAACCUGCCCUGGAGCGGGGGACAACCACUGGAAACGGUGGCUAAUACCGCAUACGCCCUUUGGGGGAAAGGCUUCGGCCACUCCUGGAUGGUCCCGCGUCUGAUUAGCUGGUUGGUGAGGUAAUGGCUCACCAAGGCGACGAUCAGUAGCUGGUUUGAGAGGAUGAUCAGCCACACUGGGACUGAGACACGGCCCAGACUCC